rnacentral:rRNA from 1 species
AUUAUGGAGAGUUUGAUCCUGGCUCAGAGUGAACGCUGGCGGCGUGCCUAAUACAUGCAAGUCGAACGAUGAAGCUUCUAGCUUGCUAGAAGUGGAUUAG